rnacentral:tmRNA from 1 species
GGGGGCGAUUCGGAUUCGACGACGGUAGCAAACCCUGAGGUGCAUGCCGUGAUGGUAGCCAAUCACGUAAAUCCAAAGCUGCAAACUAUUAGUUGCCAACGACGACAACUACGGUGCACAACUGGCUGCGUAAGUAGCCCGUUUAACACCAUCUAGUGGCUUCGGCCCUAGCGGUCUUUAGCAAGGUUCCAGCCCCGCGCUAUUGACUGUCAUACAGAACUGGAUCGCAGCUUGCUAUGUCCUGGAUCAAGCCGCUAAACUUUUUCAGGGCUCGCUAAUCACGUCCUGCCCGUUGGGCUGUGUGCGGCUAAAUUAAUCAACGGGGUCUAAGCAUGUAGAGCCGAUGGCAGAGCACUGGCGGACGCGGGUUCAAUUCCCGCCGCCUCCACCA